rnacentral:rRNA from 1 species
UACGGGGGGGGCAAGCGUUGUUCGGAAUUACUGGGCGUAAAGGGCUCGUAGGCGGCCAACUAAGUCAGACGUGAAAUCCCUCGGCUUAACCGGGGAACUGCGUCUGAUACUGGAUGGCUUGAGUUUGGGAGAGGGAUGCGGAAUUCCAGGUGUAACGAUGAAAUGCGCAGAUAUCUGGAGGAACACCGGUGGCGAAGGCGGCAUCCUGGACCAACACUGACGCUGAGUGAGCGAAAGCAUGGGGAGCGAACAGG